rnacentral:rRNA from 1 species
UACGUAGGGACCAAGCGUUGUUCGGAUUUACUGGGCGUAAAGGGCGCGUAGGCGGCAUGACAAGUCACUUGUGAAAUCUCCGGGCUUAACUCGGAACGGUCAAGUGAUACUGUCGCGCUAGAGUGCGGAAGGGGCAAUCAGAAUUCUUGGUGUAGCGGUGAAAUGCGUAGAUAUCAAGAGGAAUACCUGAGGUGAAGACGGGUUGCUAGGCCGACACUGACGCUGAAGCGCGAAAGCUAGGGGAGCAAACAGG